rnacentral:rRNA from 1 species
CAAGGAUCUGGCUGCCAGGUUGCAGGAACAGCAGAAACCCGUGUGCUCUUGGCUGGCUGUAAAUACAAUUGGAAUUUUCUUCCGGAUACCGUGAACGUUCCUGCAAGACACCCGAUUUAGACGGGGGAGCAGGAAAUUACAUUUACUUUAAAAAUCAUGCUCAUCUAUUCCACAUGAAAGGUAUGGAGAGCUAAGAAAAGGAACAGGGAGACAGUGUAUGGUUGUGUUUAACUGAUCAACGGGGGCUAACAGAGUGAUUUAAUGUUUUAUGAGGGUGUGAUUAUUAGGAUGCGUGGUUUUAGAGGGGGUUGGCUGGGGCUAUCUGCGUGUGAUUCGGGAUGGCACACAUGCAUCUGUUGCAAGGGGGAAGGGGCAUCUUGCUAUUUGGAGGAAGGAUCAGGCAUUAAGGUAUUGGACUAGAGGGAGGGAUUGGGCAUCUUGCUGGGGUCUGAAUGGUUGGAUAGGGGCAUGCUGGUGUAGGUCUGGUGGGAUGGGGCACAUUUGUGUGGCUCUGGAGAAAGGGGGCACAUUGGUGUGGGUCUGGAGGGAUGGAUAGGACAUAGUGGUGUGGGUCUGGUUGAGGGAUAGGACAGUGGUGUGGGUUGGGGUGCAUUGGUGUGGGUCUGGGGAGGGAUGGAGGACAUGGGUGUGUUUCUGGAGGGAGAGAUGUGUCACAGUGGGUCUGGAGGGUGGCAUGGGUCAUCUAGUUGUGGAUUGGGAAGUGGAACGGGACAUCUUGGUGUGGCUCUGGAGGGAAGGGUGGGGGCACAUUGGUGUGGCUCUGGAGGGAGGUGGUGAGGGCACAUUGGUGUGGCUCUGGAGGGAGGUGGUUGGGCACAUUGGUGUGGCUCUGGUGGGAGGGGGAUGGGGCACAGUGGGUCUGGAGGGUGGCAUGGGUCAUCUAGGUCUGGGUUGGGGAGUUGGACGGGGCAUCUUGAUGUGGCUCUGGAGGAGGUGGUGGGGGCACAUUGGUGUGGAUCUGGGUGGAGGGAUGGUGCACAUGGGUGUGGCAUCCUGUCGCGGUGGGCCCUCCACCGACCCGUCUCGCCCGCUCUGUCAGAGAGAUGAUGCAUGAGCGUGUGUGAUAGGACCCGAAAGAUGGUGAACUCGGUCUGGUGGAGGUCCGUAGCGGUCCUGAUGUGUAAAUCAGUCAUCUGACCAGGGUAUAGGGGCAAAAGACUAAUCGAAUGAUAUAGUAGCUGGUUCUCUCCGAAGUUUCCCUCAGGAUAGCUGGCGUACGGAAACCCCAGUUUUAUCUAGCAAAGCGAAUGAUUAGAGGUCUUGGGGCCAAAAUGAUCUCAACCUACUCUCAAACUUUAAAUGGGUAUGAAGCCUGGCUUGCUGGAGUGGAGCCGGGUAUUGUAUGAAAGUGCUCAGUGGGUAACUUUUGGUAAGCAGAACAGGCGCUGCGGGAUGAACCGCACCCGAGGUUAAGGCGCAUGAUGCAGAUGCUCAUCAGUCCCCAGAAACGGUGUUGGUUGAUAUAGUCAGCAGGAUGGUGGCCAUGGUAGUCGGAAUCCACUAAGGAGUGUGUAACAACUCACCUGUCAAAUCAACUAGCCCUGAAAAUGGAUGGCGCUGGAGCAUCAGGCCCAUACCAGGCCGGCGCUGAGAGCCGCGGGGGCUAAGUCAGGCGAGCAGGAGGGCUGCUGCGGUACGCACAGAAGCCCGGGCGAGGGCCCGGGUGGAGCCGCCGCAGGUGCAGAUCUUGGUUGUAGUAGCAAAUAUUAAAACGAGAACUUUGAAGGAUGAAGUGGAGAAGGGUUCAUGUGAACAUAAGUUGAACAUGGGUCAGUCAGUCCUAAGAGAUGGGCGAGCGCCGUUCGGGAGGGAUGGGCUAUGGCCUCCAUUGCCCUCAGCCGAUCGACAGGAAGUCGGGUUCAGAUCCCCGAACCCAGAGUGGCGGGGACGGGCACCCUUGCGGCGUCCAGUGCAGUAAAGCAAAUGAUCCCAGAGUAGCUGGUGGAGCCGCACAGAGAGUUAUUUUCUUUUCUUUGUGAAGGGCAGGGCACCCUGGAAUGGGUUUGCCCCAAGAAAGGGGCCCGAGCUUUGGAAAGCGUCGCUGUUCUGGCGGCGUCCGGUGAGCUCUCGCUGGUCCUUGAAAAUCUGGGUGAGAUUUUGUAAAUCUUAUGCCAGGCCGUACCCAUAUCCGGAGAAUGUCUCCAAGGCGGACAACCUCUGGCAUGUCAGAACAAUGUAGGUAUGGAAGUCAGCAAGUUAGAUCCGUAACUUCGGGAUAAGGAUUGGCUCUAAGGGCUGGGUAGGUCGGACUGGAGCGCGAAGCAGGGCUGAGUGCGCACCAUGGCUGGAUGAGGCGUCUCCCCUCCUCCCCACCCCCCAGGCGGCUCUGCCUCUGGAUGCGAGCCGGGCCCUUCCUGGGGAUCACCCCAGCUGCAGUGUUCGCCAAUCUUGUUCCCCUCUGGGAGAUCAGGGCCGGCAUUCUGCCUCGGCCGACACCUGGCAGCUGACUUGGCACUGGUGCGGACCAGGGGAAUCUGACUGUUUAAUUAAAACAAAGCAUUGCGAAGGCCGUGCAGGGUGUUGACGCAAUGUGAUUCCUGCCAAGUGCUCUGAAUGUCAAAGUGAAGAAAUUCAAUGAAGCAUGGGUAAACAGCUGGGGUAACUAUGACCUUUAAUGUAGCCACAUGCCCGUCAACUAAUUAGUGAUGUGCAUGAAUGGAUGAAUGAGAUUCCACUGUCCCUACCUACUAUCUAGCGAAACCACAGCCAAGGGAACACACUUGGCAGAAUCGUCAGGGAAAGAAGACCCAGUUGAGUUUGACUCUAGUCUGGCACUGUGAAGAGACAUGAGAGGUAGGAUAAGUGGGAGGCCCUCGGGCCACUGGUGAAAUACCAUUACUCUUAUUGUUUUUCCACUUACCCGGUGAGGCGGGGGGCGAGCCCCGUGGGGCUCUUGCUUCUGGCUCCAAGCACCCUGCACCUGCCGGUCACGACCCGCUCUGGGGACAGACUCGGUGGGGAGUUUGACUGGGCUGGUACACCCUGUCAAAGGAUAAUGCAGGUGUCCUAAGGCGAACUCAAGGAGGACAGAAACCUCCCGCGGAGCAGAAGGGCAAAAGCUAGCUUGAUCUCGAUUUUUCAGUAUGAAUACAGACCGUGAAUGUGGGCUUCACGAUCCUGCUGACUUUUUGGGUUUCAAGCAGGAGGUAUCAGAAAAGUUACCACAGGGAUAAUUGGCUUGUGGCGGCCAAGCCUUCAUAGCGACGUCGCUUUUUGAUCCUUCGAUGUCGACUCUUCCUAUCAUUGUGAAACACAAUUCACCAAGCAUCGGAUUGUUCACCGACUAAUAGGGAACGUGAGGUGGAUUUAGACAGUUGUGAGACAGGUUAGUUUUACCGUACUGAUGAUAUGUUGUUGCAAUAGUAAUCCUGUUCAGUACGAGAGGAACCGCAGGUUCAGACAUUUGGUGUGCAUGCUUGGCUGAGGAGCCAAUGGGGUGAAGCUACCAUCUUUGGGUUUAUGACUGAACGCCUCUACGUCUGAAAUCCCCCCAACCCCAGACCGCGAUGCUGCAGCACUCUCGAGCAUCUGUUAGCUUAGGAUAGCCGGCCUCGGGGCCGGUGUGUAGAGCCGCUUGCCUCAGGACUUGAGUGUGGACAGAAGGGGGCCACCUCUCUCACCCUUAGUGCACCGCAU